UCCGAUUUUUGCUCGGGAAGAUUUUAGCCCAUUUCGACUUUUGGGCUAGAUUUCUCGAAAAUCGUGAAUCCCACGAGAAAACCGAGGCCACCAGCAUGCUCCAUUCGUCGAGAGCUUCGCAACGACAUAAAUUUCGAAUUUUUCCGACACCGUUUUUCGGUAUCCUCGAUUCGCGGAAAUUCGACAGUUGACCGGGUCUGCAAAUUUCGGGCCAGACAAACCCGUUAUCGGAAAAGUCUCCGAAUUGGACCGAGGUUUUGGCUAGGCCCCCAUUGUCAGACGUCCCGAGCGCGUUCCUGAAGUCGGAAUCGGCAAAGGUGAGCCGGGACAGCCUUCUUCCUCCGCCCAGCCGCCUCAGUGACCAUCGUCAAGUCUG